GCUCGGGUGGGUAAUAGAUUUUUACAUGCUCUCCACACAAAUAUUUUGAUCUUAUUAGGAAAAUCCAUCGACCACACCCAUUUCCACGCGUUUGUUGUACCAGCGUACGAGUGGCUAGUAGAAGAUAUGCUGCCAUCGACUUCGAAAAGGGUUGCUAAAUAAUAUGCACUACGAACAGAGAACCGUCCGUUACGCUCGUAAUGCCAUACGAGCUUGUCUUCGUUGCAGGACUGACCUAACGGAAUUGACAAAAUAAUCCUCGAAUCAUCUUCAAAGAAAAGUUGUCGAACCAGCUCUUCAUUCCAAUGAUUUGCACCCUCUACCAUCAGUUCUUUAACUCGCAUAUCCAUCGGCAAAUCUCCUCGAGGCGUAAUUAUUAUUAUUAUUAUUUUUUUUAAUGCCUAAAUAAUAAAUAUUAAAUUUUUAAUGACUGUGUAACCCGGUUAAUUUUACCCAUUAAUUUGACCACGCAUAUUUAGUAUUUACAGUCAGUAAAAUUCCCCUUCCAAAAGAGCAGAGGAGAGAGAAAGAAGAGAGAGAGAGAGGGGAUUCGAUGCCUCCCGAAACAAACAAGAUAAAUAAAUCGUCUCUUUUUGUAACAAGAGUAAGCAGUUGUUGGUUCUAAGCAACCGUUUUGUCCUUUUCACAAUUCACGCACACACUGAGGGUGUCACUGUGUGGAAAUUGGAUGGAGGCGACGCCGUCGACGUGGUUGCGCGGCCGUGGUUUGGUCGUCGGAGGCCUCAAAUUUGGUCAAGUUAUUGUACGGUUCUACCCUUCCCCUUCCCAGCGUUUGCACCCAGCUUCAUGUAGAAUACGACACCGUAACUUCAGGUUCUUAUUACGAUUUUAUCUCUCUGCUUUUUUAUUUUCUGUAUCUUUGAUUGGUUUAUCUUAUGCAUUGGUUAAAAUUGGAUUCGGUGGUGACGCUAGUCGGACUGAAUCACGUUCGGUUGGAAUGCUGAAAUUUCUUUGAGCUGAGAAAUGUAUUUGGUGUCUGUUUAUGGUGGAAAAUUAAAUUGUUCGAGAAUCAAGUUUCUUAAACUUUAAGAUAGCAUGCUUCAUAUUUUCGCUUCAUUUUUAUAGAGAAUGCCAUCACAGCAUUAUUGCAGCUUCCUGGGAAAUAAGUUCUUUUCGUAUUAUUUUAUUUUUCUCAAGAUUUGAAUUCGAUAAUUUAUUGAUAAGGAAUGGCAUUGUAUUUAAAGAGGAAUCGAAAUUUGAUGUAGAAACGUAUUCAAAGAUGUACUGACAACCGAGAUUAAUGGCUUAUGAGAUGCUCACAAAGAGAUAAUAUAAACAUUAAUUCAUCUGUAAAUGGGCUAGAAGUCUGCUGGUCAUCUUUCUGAAUGUGAUACCAAUUCUGUAGGAACAAAACAACUCCUGCACAAUUUUGUAGUAUUUUUUCCCCCUUCUCUUUAAUCCCUUUCCUACUGUUGCAUCAUGAUGUAUUUGAAACCUAAAUAUUUGCAGUUUGAACGCUAAGAGACAACCUGCAAAGAAAAUCAAUCUUGAGCGUACAACAAAUAGAAAGUUCCAGUCAAGUGGUGAUAACGACUCUGAUCCAAGCAAGUUGUCUAAAGAUAGUACUAUAGACACAAUUCAAGAGACAGCUUCCAAUGAGCAUGACCCCAUCGUAAUAGAAGCAGGACAUGCAAACGGAAAGGAUUACAACAAUUCUUCUCCACCAAAUGAAGUCAUAUCGUUGGACGAUGACACUAUUGAGUCUGCCAGGGAAUCAUCGUACUCAGAUGAAAAUGUGAGAAUUAUUUCCCAUCAAAUUAUAUUUCACAAUGCUCCAAAACUUUGUUCCUCUCGGACUAACUCAGAGGAUUAAUCGAAUCUUAUACCAGAAAUUAUAGUCAAGUGUUACUAUGUAUGGUGUUCAUUAGCCAGUUACAUACUUAAGCUUUUCAUAUAUGUUCUCAUCAAAUUUCAGCUUUAUACACCUACAUGAAUUGAGUGGACAAUGAUAUUUGAUUUUUGUUGCAUAAGUGUUUUUGAAAAAAUGUUGGAUAUAGUUCUUAUGUUGAAUGCCUUCUUUGCGUGUAGCACCUUCAGCAUGGUGUUUCACAUAAUUGGAUGUUGUGAAUCCAUAUAAGCAAUAUAUGUUCUGCAGAAGGUUACUUUUGAAACGUGAGACAUGUUAAUCUUACGAUUUUGCUGUUCAAGCAUAAUCAAGUUAAUGCCAAUUGUUUUACUAGUCAUCAAGAGAUAAUAAAAUCUUUAUUGCCAUCGUAAGUUUUUUGUUGUUUUUUGUGGGUCUCUCCUCGGUGACCUUUUAUUCUUUGUUAUGUAAUGUCAUUAAAUGAUGUAAUUACCUGAGAACAUGAUUAUCUAUUCUUUUAAAUAGUCCAGUGAUAUAGAUGGAGGAGACCAACUUUCAGGCAUUCACCUUGAAGAUUUAGUUGGGAUGAUAAGACAUGCAGAAAAGAGUAAGUUGUGUUUCAUCUUGAGGAAUCUGGGCAUAAACUCUUCUUUUAAUUGAAAACUGAGAAGGUGAAUUUAUCUUCUGCCACCUGAACGUUUCUUAUCUUAUAUCUCUUCCUAAUUGGAUUACAGAUAUCCAUCUUCUCAAUCAAGCUCGUAUACGUGCUCUUGAAGAUCUUGAAAAAAUUCUCAGCGAAAAAGAGGAGUUGCAGGGACAAAUCAACACUUUGGAGAUGAAACUGGCUGAAACUAAUGAACGGCUCAAAGUGGUUGCACAAGAGAAGAUACACGUGGAACUCCUGGAAGACCAGUUGGAAAAGCUGCGAAAUGAAUUGUCGAGUAGGGGUAGCAAUGAGGAAAACACGCAAGACAAGAAUAGUUCUGUUUCUUCUUCACAAAUUGAUCUUAUCGAUUCUUUUAGCCAAGAAUUGGAUUUGUUAAGGGCAGAGAAUAUGUCCCUGAAGGAUGAGCUACAGGUUUUGAAAGCACAGCUUGGUAAUAUCAGGGAAACUGAUCAACGUGUUCAAAUGCUGGAGGAAGAACGGUUAACUAUGGAAUCUUCUUUAAAAGAGUUAGAGUUUAAACUCGCUGCUUCUCAUGAAGAUAUUUCAAAAAUUUCUAGUUUGAAAUCUGAAUGCAAAAGUUUAUACGAGAAAGUAGAAGAUUUGCAAACGCUCCUAGAUAAGGCAACAAAACAGGCAGAUCAUGCUAGUCUGGUGCUGCAGGAAAACCAAGAAAUCCAAAAGAAGGUUGACCGGCUUGAGGAAUCUCUAAAAGAGGCCGAUGUCUAUAGAUUGUCAACAGAGAAAAUGCAACAGUAUAAUGAACUAAUGCAACAGAAGAUAAAACUUUUGGAUGAGCGCCUGCAAAGAUCUGAUGAAGAGAUACAUUCAUAUGUUCAGUUAUAUCAAGACUCUAUGAAGGAAUUCCAAGACACAGUUGAUAAUUUAAAAGAAGAAAACAAGAAAAAGGAACAAGACACAUCUGUUAAUGAUAAGCCUUGGGCAUUUUGGAGCAACUUAUUUCUUAUUGUGGAUGGUUGGGUUCUUGAAAAGAAGAUUUCGGUGGAUCAAGCUAAGCUGUUAAGAGAGAUGAUAUGGAACAGGGAUGAAGGUAUAUGUGAUGCAUAUAUAUUGUCUAAAGAAAAGAACGAGCGUGAAAUCAUUGCGACAUUUCUCAAAUUGACAUCCUCGACGACAGGGUAAGCGUAAAAUGCAAUGACUCUUCACUUCAUACAUAAUCGACCCAGAAUUUUGAUUAGUACUUGCUCUCAUUGUUUAGUGAAAGGUUACAUGUGAUACAUAUCGCUGCAGAGAUGGCACCUGUUGCAAAGGUAUGUACAUACUAUAAAUUUAGAGUUUACCAACACAGGUAUGCAUUUGCUAUAAAUUUGGAGUUACUGGCAAAUGUCUGUAUAUACUAUAGAUUUAGAGUUUAAUGCUUCCAUAUUAUUGAACUUAGGUGAAUCCUAGUUAUCUUGUGAAUUGUGAGGUAGGAUUCAACGAUGAGAGGUUUGUCUUGUUCAUCCGGGCCCCGCGUAGACGUAAGCCUUUUAAAUUUGUUAAUUUUUUCAAUACUGGGCAAGAGCAAUAUAUGCAGUAGAAUGUGGUUUUCCGGACCAGAGGAGGAGUCUGGUGCUCUGGGACUUCAGGGGAAUCCAUUCGUUAUGAGUUAGGGUACUAUUUGUCUAAAUGCAAUGUUUCAUUCCCAAAGAUAGGAAGAAAAGACUUUAGAGUUAGGUAGUUCAUUUUUAUUUCAUAAGCAACUUGUUCAUUUGUUAUAUGCCUCCAUUAACGAAUAAAAAUAUUUCAUUUGGCUUUCUCUAGAUUAAAAAACUGAGAAGGUAAUAGUUUCAUGUUUAAUCAAGAGAAGAUAAUGUAUUUUACCUGCAUAGAUUAUCUUGUUUACCACACAUUGUUGGGAAUGUAAUAUCUCAAUAUUUUAGUUUUUAAUAUACCCCCUCCUGAUGGUGAAAUUUGUGUUCCAUAUUACAGUGCCUUGGCAUGUUUGAGUGUGUUUCUUCAUAUAUUUCUGUAUAUAUGAUGCUUAAAUCUUGGGAUUGUGCAACAAAAUUUGUUCAUUUUACCAAAAUAAUCACAUUUGCCAAUACGUUUUAAUGAUGCUAAUUUAUGACUGAAGGAUUUCUUUUAUUUCAAUUAUGUUAGGUCGGUGGGUUGGGAGAUGUGGUGACUGGUCUCAGCAAAGCACUUCAGAAGAAAGGGCACCUUGUGGAGAUUAUUCUACCGAAAUAUGACUGCAUGCGUCAUGAACUCGUUCGGGACUUAAAGGUAUUUGCCAUUUGAUGGAUGUGCUUUACUGUUUUGCCGUAGUUUUCUUUGACACGGUCUUUCAUUCUCUGCAGCUUUUGGAUGUGCCUGUUGAGUCAUACUUUGAUGGCCAUUUGUUUAAAAACAAAAUCUGGGUUGGCACUGUUGAAGGUUUUCAAUUAUUACAUUUCCAAUACCUAUAAAUAUAUUCUGCUUCUUUUAUUGUGACUUCAAUUCUAAUAAUUCGUUGGCUGCAAAUUUUACCAUUUAGGACUUCCUGUUUACUUCAUUGAGCCUCAACAUCCCAGUAGAUUCUUCUCGAGGGGUCAAUUUUAUGGAGAGCGUGAUGAUUUUAAGCGGUUCUCAUUCUUCAGCAGGGCAGCUCUUGAGUUACUUCUUCAAGCUGGCAAGAGACCAGACAUAAUUCAUUGUCAUGAUUGGCAGACUGCCUUUGUUGUAUGACUACUAGAAUUCUUAUCAAUUUUCUUUCCCUUUACUACGGUAUCUUCAUAUCAUUUUCUUACUUCUGCUUUCCUUUUUUUUCUUGUUUCGGUAGGCACCACUUUAUUGGGAUCUGUAUGUGGCAAAAGGACUGAAUUCAGCCAGAAUAUGUUUUACGUGUCACAAUUUCGAGUAUCAAGGAGCUGCAACGGCUUCUGACCUAGAAUCUUGUGGUCUUGAUGUUUACCAGCUCAAUAGACCUGAUAGGAUGCAGGACAACUCAGCAAAAGACAGGGUCAACCCGGUUAAGGUAAAAAAGUUCAUCUAGUACUAUGCCCUAUGUGGAGCUGAUUUCAAUCACCUCAUUUUCAUUUCUUCUCUUCAGGGUGCAAUAGUGUUCUCUAAUAUCGUGACAACAGUUUCACCUUCCUAUGCCCAAGAAGUCCGGACUGCUCAGGUACAAAUGUUAACAGUUAUUUAGAUUUUUCGGUGUUGCUUCUUUGUGUAGACUUGUCUUCUAGGGUUGACUUCUAGAGUUUUCUGUUUUAAUUCUUCGACUUACUAAUGCACUCAAGUCUGAGGCAGUUAGUUUAUUUGGUGCACAUCUAUGUUAUAUUACAACAGACUCUUACUUGAUCGAGAAUGGCAAAGUUUUGAAUUGGUAUAAAAUCUAAAAUGGGUCUCCCAUUUUGUCCAUUGAAAUUGAUAUGCAUUCAGCAGUGUAUUUCUGAAGUUCUAUUGCCUGUCUGGAAAGUGUGAUGGAAUUCAAGAAUUAUAAUUCAUGUUCUAUGUUCUAUUGGUGCACAUCUAUGUUCUUUUUGACGAAGCUAAAAUAAAACCAAAUGCUAUCAUUCAUGUGUGACACUCUGCAACGAACCUACCAAAUUGGAGAAUCACUUAUGCUGCAAAUUUGUAGGUCAAGUAUGUAGUUUCCAUUACAGAGAGCCGCAUGAAUAUAACAUAAUAAAGUGACCAAGGAUAUUUUGAGAGUCAAAGAACCUGUAGGACUUGUUUUACCAAAUUGUUUUUAAAUGGAUUUAAUUGUUGUUUUAUCCUGAGUAAGAAGUUUGAGUUUAGUAGGAAAACACACAUAUAAGUAGUUGAUCGUAACCAGAAUAAUUUAUUUAAUGUUUUACUUAUGAUCAUACAGGGAGGACAAGGCCUGCACGGAACACUUAAUUCACAUUCAAAGAAGUUUGUUGGGAUUUUAAAUGGAAUUGAUACUGAUGCAUGGAAUCCAGCAACUGAUCCACUUUUGGAAGUUCAGUAUAAUUCCAGUGACAUUGAAGGCAAGGCAGAGAAUAAAGAAGCUUUAAGAAGACAACUAGGGAUUUCUUCAGCUGAUCUCCGGCAACCAUUGGUAAGUAUAGUUUGAAUUUGAUGAUUAUCUUAUUUCAUCCAUCUUACUUUAACUUUGUAGGUCAUAAAAUAUAUUCCACUGACUUGACGGUAACUUUUUUUAUUUGUAUCAUGAUUUACUCCCUUCGCUUGAUUUCACGUAAUGGAAUCCUAAUUACCACAAAUCAUUACUAUAUGGUGAAUUUUUUGCAUUUCAUUUGUGAAUUGUCAACAGUUAGCCAUGCUGAUAUUCCAUUUCUUUAAAGAAUUCAUCAGGAAGAACUACUGCAAUCCGCAUUUCCAGUUAAUGUAUUGGCUUGACCAAGAUUCUUGGCAGAUAACUAGUUCCUUAAUAUGUGAAACAGAGUAUAACUGAUGAAUUGUGAAAGAGUGGCAUAUCUAUGUUAUUAUAGUUGCAACUCAAUUUUUGAAACAAUACUUGUAUUCAACUUUCAGUUUAUUGUGUGCAGGUUGCUUGCAUAACUAGACUGGUACCUCAAAAAGGUGUACAUCUUAUAAGGCAUGCAAUAUAUCGGACAUUGGAGCUCGGUGGCCAGUUUGUCCUUCUUGGUUCAAGUCCAGUGCCACAAAUUCAGGAAAGUUGUGUUUUCUCAAUUUCGGCAUUUUUUUUUCUUGGCAUGGUUGGUCUGUUGGCUAAAUGUGUAGCUUGAUAAAGUUCCUCUUAAUAUAUAGCGAUAUUUUUUAAAUGUAAUUGUUCCAAGGAUGGAUUACUGAAGAAUUAUAGGUACAGAGUAUAUCUAUGAUUUGGUGUUAUUUAUAAGUACACAAUUAUAAAGUCAAAGUUAACGGUUUGAUUCAAGAUCAACAGCGCCUCUUCUGGGAUUUGAAUUGCCAAACCUUUUUAUUGAACGAAUCAUAUCUUUUGACAAAUGAAAGUUUUCUUUUUGCAGAGGGAGUUUGAAGAUAUUGAGAACCAUUUUAGAACUCAUGAGCAUGCUCGAUUACUACUGAAAUACGACGAGUCUCUUGCCCACUUAAUAUAUGCUGCCUCUGACAUGUUUAUCAUCCCAUCCAUCUUUGAGCCUUGUGGCCUUACACAGGUAAAGUUCAGUUAGUUCCCUGUAACCUGGCAGUAUGACUUGGCUGAAAUUUAUUUGUUUUUAACUCAUGUCAUAUUGUAAUGUAUGCAGAUGAUUGCUAUGAGAUAUGGUGCAAUCCCAAUAGUUAGGAAGACAGGUGGACUAAAUGACAGGUUGAACUGCUGUCGGAUGAAUUUAAAAUUACACUGCAUAGAUUAUUUUGCUAGUACCUGCUUAAUAAUUAAGUUUGUAAAUCCUCUUGCAGUGUUUUCGAUGUAGAUGAUGAUACUAUACCUGUCCAUUUCAGAAAUGGAUUUACGUUUUUGACAGCCGACGAGCAGGUAACUAAUUUGUAUGCUUGAGAUUGAUAUUAUAUUUAAUUAUUCUUUUGCAUUUGAUAUUAGACUAAAAAGGUGUACGUUCCAACAAUUUCGAGAUUACAUCCCUGAUUUUUCAUGAAUAUACAGAGCUUCAGCAAUGCAUUAGAACGUGCAUUUCACCAUUAUAAGCACGAUGCUGAUGGUUGGAAACAGCUUGUACAAAGAGACAUGAGGAUAGAUUUUAGUUGGGACACUUCAUCAUUACUGUAUGAAGAACUUUAUGCAAAGUCGGUUGCCAGAGCAAGGGCUGCAAAUCGUACCUGAGCACAGUUACGUUAUAAAAUGAAGAGAAACUAACCAUCAGUCGUGAUAUUUGGGCGGCUGCUAAGGCUAUGAUGAUCUCCAAUUCUUUUUUGUUACAGUCGAUCAAUUUUCCUUGUAAAUACAAUAUAUGGGCAGGCAUGAACUUUAAUCUGUACAUGGUGUAAAUUGUGUACAUGCCUUGUUCAAAAUACAUUGUACAAAAACAUUCCUAAGAGAUAUACAAGCUUUAUACUAAAGCUUCAGUAACGUGUUACUGAGACAUAAACAAGAGAUAUGCUAUCAUUCUCAUGAUUCUGAUUCCUCUUUGGAAACCAAAAUACGUUCGGCAGUUUGUCGAAGGCAAACAUAAUGACUAUGGCGAGCUCGAUCAAAUUGUUAAGAGGUGAAUCAGAAACUUGGAAAACCCCAGAGUGAUUCGAGAUUUCCUAGUAGCGAAAAAUGAGUAUUCGAAAAGGUUUGUUUUUUGCUACUUAUUUUUCUUUAAAUAAUUAUGUAUAUACUUGUAUCAGUCUUAUAUCUGCAUCUUCAAUCUUCCUCAUUUAUCUUAAUUUGUGGGGGAAUUCUGGACUUCACACUAUUCUUGUUUCUGAUAUUUGACAUAAAUUACUGAAGUUGACAUGAAAGUAGCAACAGAAAAAAAAUGUUCAGAAUAACAUUAUAUUCAAGCAAUUAAAACUUUACAUCAUCAUUCAACAAUCCGAAUUUUAGUACAAACUUCACUUUCCGGGUACAAAGUUUGUGGCGAAGGCCCAUGCAUUGUUGUUAACGGGGUCGGCAAGAUGGUCAGCAAGGUUCUCCAACGGACCCUUUCCGGUAACAAUAGCCUGAACAAAGAAUCCGAACAUUGAGAACAUUGCUAGUCUUCCAUUCUUCAGCUCCUUCACCUUUAGCUCGGCAAAAGCUUCCGGAUCCUCAGCAAGACCCAAUGGGUCGAAGCUACCACCCGGGUAAAGUGGGUCGACAACUUCACCGAGGGGCCCACCGGCAAUUCUGUAGCCCUCAAUAGCUCCCAUCAAUACAACCUGGACACCCCAUAUGGCCAAUAUGCUCUGGGCGUGGACCAAGCUUGGGUUGCCCAAAUAAUCGAGCCCACCCUCACUGAAGAUUUGUGAUCCGGCCUUGAACCAAACCGCCUCACCGAAUUUAACACCGUUGCGUGCCAAAAGCUCGGGGAAGACACAUCCAAGAGCACCAAGCAUGGCCCACCUGGAGUGGAUCACUUCAAGUUCACGGUUCUUGGCGAAUGUCUCGGGGUCGGCGGAAAGUCCGGCGGUGUCCCAGCCGUAGUCGCCGGGGAACUCACCGGUCAAGUAGCUAGGUGCCUCACCGGAGAAUGGGCCCAAGUACUUGACACGGUCAGGGCCGUACCAUGGGCUGCUGGAUGCGGCGGGCUUGGGCUUGGCGGCGGUUUUCCUCAUUGAGAUCCUGCCGGAGCUGGUGAAUUCGGGGGUGGACUUGACUGCCUGUCCGGCGAAAGAUGGGGAAGAUAGAGCCAUUGAAGAGGCAGCCAUUGUUGUAAUUUCUCAAAUGAAAGACUAUAUGUAUUUGCAAGGUUGUUUGUUGAAUGGAUGAUAUUUUCCAUGGCAGACAUACUAAGGUAUUUAUAUGGAGUGGCCGUUAUCUCUUGAUAUCAUUAUCUGUAUUCCUAUUGGUAGGUGACAUUUGGCAAUCUUGACGUGGCAUGUCCAUUUUGGCAACGGCUAUCAGCCUAUCACUAUGGAGGUUUUAUCUAUUCUACACCCGGUGAAGGUUACACCGGGUGAUUUUUCACCGUUGAUCUACACACACCAAUGUGGGUGUGUGUGUGUUUGUGUGUAUAUUAAUGGUAAAGAUCUACCCGGUGUAUUUCACCCGGUGUAGGAUCUCAAAAGCCCACUAUGGAUAUAUGGGUAUUUCCCAUUGGCCUAUAAGGUUUUGCCAAGUGUGCGGUUGGAGAGUUCUGCAUGGAUAUUUCGCACGUGAGAAGCCAACGGCUACAGAAAUGUGUUUGUCUUUCUUAAGGCAGGGAUUAUAUAGAAGAAAUGUUGUGAAAAGGUGAUUAAAUAUAAGGUAUAAUUACUAUAGUGUAAAUAAUAAAGGCUGCAGAUAUUUGCAAGACGAAAAUUACUAAGUGCAAGACCUUACUUCAUGCAAGACCAAAAUAUAAAUAAAUUUACUAAGAUCAAGACUGAAAAUUACAAAUAUAACCCCAAUAAUAAUUUAGAUAUUAUUAAUUUAAAUUAAGCUAAUUGCUAUUGCAAGACCAAAAAAAAAAUACAAAAAAAAGAAUAAAAAGAGAGGGAACGCACUCCCCCAACAAAACACCAACAUCUUCUUCUUCACCCUCAUUUUACACAUUUUUUUCCACAAAAAAAUCUUCCAUAUUCUCCAAAACCCUUAUCACAUAAAACCCUCAAAUCUUACUAAGACUUUAAAAGAAGGACAUUAUGGAUACACAAGACAUAAAUAUGGAGGAUUCUAAGGUCGAAGAACACAAAGAGGUAAGAAAUAUUGUACUUUGUGAUCGUUUUUCUCGUUUUUCGCACCUCAUUUCACGUACAAAAAAUUCGACAUGUACAGGUCGAAAUAUCCGCUUAAUAUCGACAUAGUAGUGUCGCAAAUUUCAACAUAAUUCGACACUCCUUAACUGUCGAAUUAUAUUGAAAUUUUCGACAUUAUGGUGUCGAUAUUAAGCGCAUAUUUCGACGCUGGUGUGUCGAUUUUUUACUGUUACAAUUGUGUAACCAAAUUUCCGAUUUUUCUUGCAGAGUUUUGUACCUAGCGCGUGUAGUGGAGCUAAUGCAUGUAGGGAAUUAGCUUUGGAUUAUUCACAUGAAUUUACCACCCACGAGGAGUUUGCAACAAGGGACAAUUUAGUCACAUGGGUGCGCGAAGUUGGUAUGCGACUAGGAAUGAUAAUGUCAGUAAAGUCUUCAAAUUUGGGAAACCCAUCCAAAUUUGAGUACGAGCUUAAUUCAAGCAAAGAUAGUUGUUCCCCAAAGGUAAUUUUUUUGAAAUUUUUAGCUCAUAGUUCAUUUUUUGGUUUCUCAUUUAGUAAUACGUGAUAUUGGUUAAACAUUGUAGACUCCUAUUUCUGGUAUCCAAAAGCAACGUGAACAGCUUAUGCCGCAGCCGAUCACUGUAUCGAUGGUAACCGACAUCUUCAAUCGAAGCACCGGUAAAUCGACGGUGUUGGAAAAACUACCGGUAAUAUAUGCGUAAAAAUAUAUCAGUACAAUAUCGACACCAGCGUGUCGAAAAAAACAACAAUUUUCGACGCUCUAGCAUCGAAAUAUGUCACAUUUUUCGACAUCAACAUGUCAAUAUUUAUCAUAAUUUUCGACAUCAAUAUGUCGAUAUUUCGCUGUAAUUUUGUUUCUCAUUCUGUAUUACUAAUUUAACCUUCUUAUGUGCAGGUUCGAAAAAAAACUACCAAGUAUAUAUAUAUUAAACAAAUACAUCUGAAGUUCCGAAGAUAUGUUGGAGAUAUAAUAAAUGUUGCGUCAGAUGGUCAUUGUGGAUUUCGGGCGGUUGCAUCAAUGAUGGGCUUUGGGGAAGAUAAUUGGAGUCUAGUACGAAGAGAUUUGGUCGAUGAGCUCAUUAUGAAUGAUGCUAUCUACAUGAAUAUCCACAAAGUUCGAGAUACGCUUGAUGAAUUGGAAGCAAAAAUGAGGUGUUCGGUUACACCUGCCCCUUAUGAAAAUUGGAUGUCGUUUCCGGAUAUGGGUCAUUUUAUUGCUUCUAAAUAUGACAUUGUGCUCGUACUGAUAACGCAGCUGCAGUGUCUUACAUUUCUCCCACUCUCUAGUGACCCCAUCGUGUAACUAACGGUCCCUCAAUCUCGCCGGACCUAACCGUCGGUGUGAGACGGGGGAAAUGCUCGUAAAUCCAACCCUGAAGAAACGUCAAAUAUCCACUGAUUUGCUUCGUAUUAGCCCUUGAAGCAUCCGACAACGCCUCAUAGAGCAGACACAAACAAGCUGUACCCCAUGCGUAAGUCCCAAUAUUUUCCAAAUCUUCUAACAAACACAACAACUGCAGUGUACCCAUAUUCCCCGUCUUGUCCUGGAAUAUCGUACAUGACAAUACGUACAACAAAAAUGCCCUUGUCGCACACGUCUUUUUAUUCUCAUCAUCAAUAUCUGUCACAGAACUGAAAGUACUACGCAACCACUCCAACUUAAGCGCCUUCUGAUUUUGACCCCAACAUUUAUCCGUCGAUUCAAGCACUACUCCGAGAAUUCGAUUUACGAUUGCUUGUGACGAUGGCCCCGUCUUACUAAUUUGUUGAAUAAAUACCGGCCGUCCCACCACUGGCAAACCUAUCAAGCUGCUGACAUCGUCUAGCGUGAUAGUCAUCUCCCCAAAUGGUAAAUGAAACGUACAAGUUGCUGGUUGCCACCGCUCUAUGAAAGUCAACACCAAUGCACUAUCUAUCACCUUGUACGAAUGACGUACAAGGGGCAUCAAACCGGACCUCUCGACAACCUCGGUCAUAAAAGGAGCCAUCCGCCACUUCUCCAACAUUGUUGUGUGAUUAUGAACCCUCACACUUUCGCGCUCCUACAAUUUUAAUAAAAAUAAACAUUCAAUCAAUAAAGUAAAUAACUUCAAUAACAUAUGUAUAUGUGUGUCUAUAAGUGUAAAAGUACCUUUCCGGACAAAAUCUGUCGGGCGAUAUGAUUCUCAAACUGCGGCAUCAAGUCUGGUAUUUGUGGUCCUCUGGGGCCAGCCGAUUGGCUACUAGAUCCACCAACUUCGGUGGUCGAUGUGAGCGGUGGAUCCUCAAGUAUGGACAAUGAAGGCUCAACAUCGGUAGGUAAAUGUGUACGAUUGGCCGGAGGAUCGACCCGAGUAGCUUGAGAAUCGCCACGUCGAACUUUACGAUUGACCAAUGCUUUUCUCUUGCGCUGAGAAGCAGUUUGGGGAAUACGCGGUUCCACUGGAAAAAUAUAAAUAUAAUAUUAAUCAUUUAUAUAAAAAAAAAAAAAAAGUUUGCAAAAAAAUCAGUUUACCAGUCAAUUUUCGACAUCAUAGUGUCGAUAUUUGUACACAAAAUCGACAUAACUCUGUGUCGAAAAUUGUAUACAAAUUCGACACAGCAAUGUGGAAUAUUGCUCCAAAACUCGACACCGGGUUUAUGUCGAAAUUUUGUACACAUAUCGACAUUGAGAUGUCGAAAAAAGGUCCAAUAAUCGACAAUUGUUUGCUGUCGAAAUUUGAUUAAAAAAUCGACACCAGUGUGUCGAAAAUUUGCCAAAAAAUCGACAAGUACAGGUCGUUUUUUGUAAAACCGCAACUCCUUCAACAAUAGUGCUACAAUCGAACCCUAGAAUCAUCAACUAUGUUCUAAAAUGACUUGAAUUCAUUAUUCUAACAAUAAAAUUAUGUUUAUCACAUUUAUUUCUCAAAAAAAAGUUAAUUCAAAAAGUAAUUUUUACUUGCUUUUCGUGAGAUUGUUGUGGCGGGGUUGGGGCAACAACGGACUUCAACGGCGACGGGGAGGUGGUGGACUUCAACGGCGACGGCGACGGGGCGACGACGACGGGGCGACGAUUGAGUGCUGCAAUUGAUUUUUUUGUUUUCUUCUUUCCUUCUUCCCUCCUCGUUUUUCAAUUCUCAAUUCAAUUUCUUUUUUCUUUCUUUUUUUUUUUAUUUUUUCUUUUUUAAAUUGGUCUUGCAAAAGGAAAUUAAUAAAAUAAUUUUUAGGCUGCGGCUAUAUGCAAUACUCAUUCAACUUGUGCAAGACCAAAUUAAAGAAAGAUUCCAAAAGAUUCUAUUUUAUUAAGAUGGAAUGACAAGUAUGCCCAUAAAUUAAAUUGGCUUUUUUUUCUCAUGUAAGACCAAAUACAAAUAAUGAGAAAAAAACAAAAAUCGACACCAAGGUGUCGAAAAACUAUGCUACAAAUCGACACUUAAGCGUCGAAUUUCAUAGGUAAAAAUCGACAUUGACAUGUCGAAUUUAUAGCACAAAUUCAAAUGUCGAAUUUUAUACCUCAAAAUCGACAUCUAAAUGUCGAAUUUUAUACCUCAAAAUCGACAUCUAAAUGUCGAUUUUUAGCUGUAAAAUUCGACCUGUACAUGUCGAAUUCGUUUGUGCGGGAUUUUUUUUGGAAAAUCGAUAUUCUAGCUAAAAAAACCCAUAAAUGCAUACAUUCUUGGGUUCUUCCAUCGUAAAAUCUUCUAUUUUGAUGUCUCCUGACUCCAUACUUGCCAUCUUUGUAAGAUUUGUUGAGUUUUGAUGAUUUUGAAUUUCAAGGUUUUGCGGGUUAAUGGAGGAGGAAGGAGAAAGGUCUUGUGGGUUUUGGAAGAUGGAGAAGAUGAUAGUUGAUCUUGUGGUUUUGUGGUCUUGUGAUAGGGUUUUUUGUGUUUUUGAAUUUUUGGUCUUGCAUAUUUGGAAUUUUUUAUUUUUUUAAUAAAUAAGGGUAUUAUAGUAUUUAUACAUUGAAAAUUUUAAUUUGGUCUUGCACAAGUGGAAUUAGUCUUGUAUAUAGCCGCAGCCAAAUUUUUAUUUUGGUUGUAUUUUAUUAAGGUUAUUAUAGUCUUUUUAUACUGAAUUUAAUAAAAAAAAUUAAUUUGGUCUUGCCCUAAGUAAUUUUCGUCUUGCAAAUAGUCGCUGCCAAUAAUAAAUUAAAUUUAGGGUAAAUUUUGAAUAUUUUGAAGUGCUAAUUUUCACUAGAAGACUCACAAGUCUGCUUUCCUAUAAACACAACUUGUUUCUUUUUGCCACCAGAAGGUAUGAAAGGAAUACACUACACAGUUACAUACUUCCGGUACAUGUAACACAUCUAACUUGAGUGUCGGACUCUUUAAGUUUAGGACGCAUAAUUACCAAAACCUACUAGAUCCUAUGUUCUUCUUGCAAUAAAAUUUCGAAAAAAAAAAAGAAAAUAAUUCUGAUUUCUGAUUUUCCGAUUUUUUCUUUUUGGACCAAGAUUGGUGUAUAUAUGUUACUUUCCGAAACUAAUACCAAUUGUUUGUUUUUCCCAAAAAUUAGACUUACAAUAUUAAUAUUAUUAUGUAUUUUAUAAUUUAUAUUAUAGGUGCAUAGAAAAUGGAAUCUCUAAUUUCCGCCAAUUUCAGUACAAAGUUUUUAUUUCAAUUUAUGAAAUUUCGAUUUGAGAUUUUCCAUUUUUUUUUUAGAACAUAGAAGAAUUAAUGCAACUCCUUGAAUUCAAUUGGCUAAACUGUUAAACAUCAAGUAAGAUAUUUUUGGUAGAGCAUUAAAAUAUAAAAUAUAUGAAAAUCUCAACCACGGAAAUGUAGACUCAACCUCAGCCUCAAGAUCAUAUACUUACAAAACUUUGUUCAUUUGGAAAUAAAAAAUGUAGAGAAUUAAGUGGACUACAGAUUGGCAACUGGAUAGUGGGUACUAAGUAAUCUUGAAAGCCAAUGAAAUAAAGAGAUAUAGAUAUCAGUAGAUAAGACGACUGAUUGCAGUUCCUCUUCCCGCCUAUUUAUAACUACCAACUACCAAUCUCUACUUUCAUCGCCACCACCUCUUCCUCUUUGAUCAACUAACUGAUAAUAAACCCCAAAAAGAAAAGGAAAAACACUUCCCUUCCUUCAAUGGCUGCUUCUUCAAUGGCUCUAUCUUCUCCGUCUUUCGCCGGACAGGCUGUCAAGCUCUCUCCCGAAGUCACCGGCACCGGCACCGGCAGGAUCUCCAUGAGGAAGACCUCCGCCAAGCCCAAGCCCGCUUCUUCCGGCAGCCCAUGGUACGGCCCUGACCGUGUCAAGUACUUGGGCCCAUUCUCCGGCGAGGCACCUAGCUACCUCACCGGCGAGUUCCCCGGUGACUACGGCUGGGACACCGCCGGACUUUCCGCUGACCCCGAGACAUUCGCCAAGAACCGUGAACUUGAAGUGAUCCACUCAAGGUGGGCCAUGCUUGGUGCUCUUGGAUGCGUCUUCCCCGAGCUAUUGGCCCGCAACGGUGUUAAAUUCGGUGAGGCGGUUUGGUUCAAGGCCGGAUCACAAAUCUUCAGUGAGGGUGGACUCGACUACUUGGGCAACCCAAGCUUGGUCCAUGCUCAGAGCAUAUUGGCCAUAUGGGGUGUCCAGGUUGUAUUGAUGGGAGCUAUUGAGGGCUACAGAAUUGCCGGUGGGCCCCUCGGAGAAGUUGUCGACCCACUUUACCCGGGUGGUAGCUUCGACCCGUUGGGUCUUGCUGAGGAUCCGGAAGCUUUUGCCGAGCUAAAGGUUAAGGAGCUGAAGAACGGGAGACUCGCAAUGUUUUCCAUGUUUGGAUUCUUUGUUCAGGCUAUUGUCACCGGAAAGGGACCGUUGGAGAACCUUGCUGACCACCUUGCCGACCCAGUUAACAACAACGCAUGGGCCUUCGCCACAAACUUCGUACCCGGAAAGUGAGCUUAGGAGCACAAAUUGUUGUUAGUAACGUUGUAUUGGUGUAAAUGAGUGAUUAGUUUUCAGCAUUAAGAAUACGCAUUGUGCCAUUUUUUUUCCUUUGGUUUGAUUAUAUUGAUCGAGUAUGAUAAAUUGUAUAAUCUCAAUGUAUCGAACGUUUGCUUCAUUUAGCGGUCUAUAUAUGGACAAAAAGCAUUUAAUUCCUUUCAGGUGAGAUUGCACAAUCAAUUGCUUACUCAAAAAGAUGUCAAUGGCAAAGAAACACCGAGGAGUACAAUUGGACCAUCUUCGUGUCGCUGUUGAAACCCUCACGCCUCCGUCUGUUUCGAUGGCUUAUCCCGUUUAUUCUCUGCAAAUAUUUUCUGAUGGCGCGAGAUAUUUGCAACUCUCCCCCCAUACUAUUCUGCAAAGCUGAGAAUCUGCAAAUUACUUGAGAAAAUUCAGAGCUUACCUUGAGUAUGCGACGCACACGUGUGUAGAGUUGGUUUCAGUCACAAGCCAUCAUAGAUAAUUUGGAUGAUCUUUGGUAAAUCCCCAAUCUCUGGGAAGUUCACUAUUCAUGUAAAUUCAACUGUAAUGAAUUAUUGGAGGAAGAACAUGAACAAGAGAAAUCGAGCUUUUGGUGGGUAAUCCUUCCAUGGUCACUUUUUUAUUCAACAAAAGCAAAUACGUACGAGUUUAAAAAAAUCCAGCCCAAAUCUAUCCUAUCACCACUAACCUACCAAUCCAUAUCACCUGCCAUUGUUCAUGGAUAAUGGAUUUAAGUUAUGUGCGUAUAUACAUGUAUACAUCGAGAACUGAAUAAUCACUGAUGCUUGUUGUCUAAGCUCGAAAAUCUUUUGUUUUUCAAUUGCAGAUAAAUCAUUUAGAUUGAAUUGAAUUGAAAUCCAUCACUAGAUAUUCAAUUGUUAGUUGUUACCAGGCCUUUAACAUUAUGAAUCGACUAACGAAAUCGGAGAAUCAAAGAAUUGACAUUUCAACCGUUGUAUUCCGACUAAGAAUUCCUGAAUAAAGUGGGAAUCACACAUGCAUUAAUUCACACACAUAAUUAGUUGAUAAUAAGUAACCAGAAUAUAUUGUUUCAGCUAAUGUUCGACAAUUGUUUAUGGCACAAUUUAUGAGGGGUAUGGCCGAGGGAGGUCCGAUUCUGUAAGUUCAGUCCCUUUAAAAAUGAAGAAAAACUAACCAUCAGUUGCAAUAUUUGGUGAUUCCUAUGUCGGAAUCUGAUCAACUGAUCUACAAAUAUAAUGGAUAGUCUGUUUAUGGCCAGACAUCAACUGUACUCCGAUUGUAUGCAUGUCUUGUUCAAAUGCACUGUGUAAAAAUCCCGAAUUAGUCCAUUGGAGAUGUUAUAUUUCAAUUAUAUUGUUGUUCUUUGUUAAGGAUUUCUAUCCAUUUAUGCCUAAAUCUUAUCUUCAAUAUUGAAUCUUUUUUCAUUUAUAUCUCGGUGUGUAGAUAGUUUGACAGCUUCGUAGUUGAUAGCUCUUCUAGUUUUUGCAGCUUAGUUGGUACGUGAUACUCAUCGGAUUUGUUACUAUGACUCGAGCACCGGAAAAGCAGAUUCACAUUCGUUGAAUCCCAUAUAAAUAGCAUUAUAUAAAAUAUAUCAAUAAUUUACAUCAGCCUUAAUUCAUUACACUCUUCUAUGUGAACUUCACUUUCCAGGUACGAAGUUUGUGGCAAAUGCCCAGGCAUUGUUGUUAACUGGGUCGGCAAGAUGGUCAGCGAGGUUCUCCAAUGGUCCCUUUCCGGUAACAAUAGCUUGAACAAAGAAUCCGAACAUGGAGAACAUUGCAAGUCUCCCAUUCUUCAGCUCCUUUACCUUUAGCUCAGCGAAAGCUUCCGGAUCCUCGGCAAGGCCCAAUGGGUCGAAGCUACCACCGGGGUAAAGUGGGUCAACAACCUCUCCGAGGGGCCCACCGGCAAUUCUGUAGCCCUCAAUAGCUCCCAUCAAUACAACCUGGACACCCCAUAUGGCCAAUAUGCUCUGAGCAUGGACCAAGCUUGGGUUGCCCAAGUAGUCGAGUCCACCCUCGCUGAAGAUCUGAGAUCCGGCCUUGAACCAAACCGCCUCACCGAAUUUAACACCGUUGCGUGCCAAAAGCUCGGGGAAGACACAUCCAAGAGCACCAAGCAUGGCCCACCUGGAGUGGAUCACUUCAAGUUCACGGUUCUUGGCGAAUGUCUCGGGGUCGGCGGAAAGUCCGGCGGUGUCCCAGCCGUAGUCACCGGGGAACUCACCGGUGAGGUAGCUAGGUGCCUCACCGGAGAAAGGACCCAAAUACUUGACACGGUCAGGGCCGUACCAUGGACUGCCGGAUGCGGCGGGCUUGGGCUUGGCGGCGGUCUUCCUCAUUGAGAACCUGCCGGUGGUGGUGAAUUCGGGGGUGGACUUGACUGCCUGCCCGGCGAAAGUGGGGGAAGACAAGGCCAUUGAAGAGGCAGCCAUUUAUGGAAAUGGAAGGGAAGUGUUUGCUUUCUUGAGUGUGUAUGAGUAGAAAGAGGGAAGUAAGUAGUGUUGGUGAUGAUGACAAGGGAAGAUGGCAGUUAUUUUAUAGCUAGACGGGAGGAGGAGGUUGCUUCGACCAGACACCCGGUGAAAAACACCGGGUGUAGGGUCGAACAAAUCGGAGGAGGAAUGGUGGUUGAUCUUAUCCUGUGAUAUCUAGCCUAUCUCUUCUUUCAUUGGGUUUUCAAGAUCCCAUUGUAUCUAAGAUUUUUUUUUGGAGUUCUGCCAAUAAUAUCUCAAUUGAACACUCUGUAACUGGGACAUUCGGACUUGUACAUUAUUACAGAUAAUGAGCAAAGACAAAAGAAAAGUUUACAUUACUCUUAAUAAAUUAGUACAAGUACAUUUAAACUACAAAAUUAUCCUUUUAUUUGAAAAAUUAAAUAUAUACCCCUAAAAACUAAUUAUGUGUAACAAACUUUAAUAGAGAUUAUGAAAUAUUUUUUUUGCCACUGAAAAAGAAAAUUGUUAGAAUAUCCCAACAUUGAAAUGGAUGUUUUGCCCUUGUAUUAUUUAUUUUUUUUUAAAUGAAUUUUUUCAUAAAAAAAUAUUUUAUAAUUUAGAAGGUUACUUUCUCUUUUUUUUUUUUUUUUUUUUUUGAGAAUAAAGGUUACUUUCUCUUACUCAUACGUGUAUGCAGUGGCGAAUCCAGGAUUUUUGCCAAGGGUGUUCGAAAUUAAAUAUAGUAAAAAAUAUAAUGGUUGGCUAACAGUUUACGGGGGUUCGGGGGCAGCGUCCCCGAUUUUUUUUUUUUUUGAAUACUGUACACAUUAAAUAAUAAAAAAAAAAAAAUUUAAAGGGAUUAGUUUACCAUUUUUGGGCAAAUUUAGAAAAUAUUUAAACAUAAAAUUGGUGAAAAUAUUAAAGGAGUGGUAAACAUAUUAAAGUUGCAAGUGACAAAAUGUACGUUUCAUUAUCAUAUUUUGAAUGUUCAAAAAGAAAAAAAAAACUCACAUAGUUGUAAAUAUAGAAAAAAAAUUGAAAUAAUACAUAUAUAUACAAUAUUUAGAAUUUUGGAAUAAUUUAUAUUAUAUUUAAUAUUAAAGAAAUGGUAAAUAAAUUAAAGUUACAAAUAGCAAAAUAUAUGUUAUAUUAGGAGAUUUUUUUUAAAUAUUAAAAAAUACCUACAUAUUCAACAUUUUUUAAAACAAUUGAAAUAUUGAAUUUUGGAAUAAUUUAUAUUAUAUUUAAUAUUAAAGAAAUGGUAAAUAAAUUAAAGUUACAAAUAGCAAAAUAUAUGUUAUAUUAGGAGAUUUUUUUUUAAAUAUUAAAAAAUACCCACAAAUUCAACAUUUUUUAAAACAAUUGAAAUAUUCUAUGUAAUGGAAAAUUAGGAAUAAAAAAGAAAAAAUAAUAGAGAGGUUCAGACUCUUGUAAAGGUCUCGAACCCUGUACCUCUGCAUGAUUCUAUAGAGCACUUAACCAGUUAAGCUACAGCAAUGCAUUGGCCAGGUUUUACAUUUGCAGUUAUAUAGUACUAAAUAUAUACGAAAUAUAUUUUUUUUAAAAUCAAGGGUGUGCAGUAGCACACCCUUGGACCACACUAGAUACGCCACUGCGUGUAUGUCACUCGUACAAGAUGAAAUUCAGUAAAUAUUCUGGUCAGCAAAUUUUUCUAUUUUUUAUAAUUUCACCAGUCUGGUUGUUAAUUUUCAUCUUUUGGUGGAAGCAUUAGUUGUUUACUACUCUCUUUGAACAUUAUUUACAGUACAGUAAGAAAAGCUCUAGAACAUAAACUAACUAAAAAUAGUACUCUGCGAUUGGAUUCCUGAAGUCCAGUACACUUGAUGUUGUGGCAAUGCUUCAAUAUCAGGAUUUCCAGAUAUCCACACCAGAGCUCCGAUCCUCAUCCAUGCAUCUCGAUUUUCAUAAAUCAAUCUCCAGCCGCACACUUGGCAGAACCUCAUUGGCCAAAAGAUCCCAAGAGGAUUAGUGGUGAUAGCCGUUGCCAACUGUACAUAUAUGCCACGUCAAGAUUACCGAAUAUCGCCUGCCUAGCAAUAGCAACCUAGAUAAGGAUAUUCAUAGAUAAGCCCGAUUCAUAUAAAUACAUUCCCUCGUCUGCCUUAGAAAUAAACCCAUCAACAAACACAAACAGCCUCCUUUGCAAAUAAAUACACAUUCUUUCAUUUCAUAAUAUACAUCAAUGGCUGCCUCUUCAAUGGCCUUGUCUUCCCCCACUUUCGCCGGACAGGCAGUCAAAUCCACCCCUGAAUUCACCACCACCGGCAGGUUCUCAAUGAGGAAGACCGCCGCCAAGCCCAAACCUGCAUCGUCGGGCAGCCCAUGGUACGGCCCCGACCGUGUCAAAUAUUUGGGCCCAUUCUCCGGUGAGGCCCCCAGCUACUUGACCGGCGAAUUCCCCGGUGACUACGGUUGGGACACCGCUGGGCUUUCGGCUGACCCUGAAACGUUCUCCAAGAACCGUGAGCUUGAAGUGAUCCACUCCAGGUGGGCCAUGCUAGGUGCUCUUGGAUGUGUCUUCCCCGAGCUAUUGGCUCGCAACGGUGUUAAAUUCGGUGAGGCGGUUUGGUUCAAGGCCGGAUCACAAAUCUUCAGCGAAGGUGGGCUCGAUUAUUUGGGCAACCCAAGCUUGGUCCAUGCUCAGAGCAUCUUGGCCAUUUGGGGAGUCCAGGUUGUAUUAAUGGGAGCUAUCGAAGGCUAUAGAAUUGCCGGUGGGCCCCUCGGUGAAGUUGUCGACCCACUUUACCCCGGUGGUAGCUUCGACCCAUUGGGUCUUGCUGAGGAUCCGGAAGCUUUUGCGGAGCUCAAGGUUAAGGAGCUAAAGAAUGGAAGACUUGCAAUGUUCUCGAUGUUCGGAUUCUUUGUUCAAGCUAUCGUCACCGGAAAAGGACCAUUGGAGAACCUUGCUGACCACCUAGCUGACCCGGUUAACAACAAUGCAUGGGCCUUUGCCACUAACUUCGUACCCGGAAAGUGAAAUUGACAUAGGUAAUGAUGAAUUCGGAUUGAUUAAUUAAGGAUGAUGUAUGUAAAGUAGUGUGAAUUAUUGGAAUAAUUAAUAUAAUGUGGUUUUAUGUGCUUCAACGAUUUCUAUUGUUGCUUUUGCAUUCAUAUAAACAAACCUAAAUUGAGUUAGAUUACAUUAUAUUCACAAGGAAAUUAUGUUCAUAUUAUUUGAAGAACUUUUGUCCGUGCGGAUAAUCUCAAUCUGCUCAAUAAAUUAUCUGUUCAUCUGCUUACUUGGGAAAGUACUCAACGCCGACGUUUUGGCUGUGGCUAAUGGGCUAAUUACAUCAUCUAAUCAUACUCGCGCGGAUUUGAAGAUCCAGAAGUUAUGGGCCCAACGGAAGUGUUCAGAAAUCUCUCUCUCUCUCUCGCUUAUUUCUCUGUCUUCUUCGGUUCUUCACUCUUUCCUAUUUCAUAUCUUCAUUUCUGCAAAUUAUAUAUAAAAAACCUUCCAAUUCUGCAUGUUGUUCUUUAAACAGUUUCUCUUGAGAUCAGAUUUGAUGAGAUUCGGUGUGCAUAUCACCUGUUUGAUGAAAUUUAUGUGCGAACGAAAUUUGACAUCUUGCAAACUUUUUAGUAACAGAGGUAUUAGAAAAACUAAGAUCAACCAAUAAAAAUAUUAAGCAACUGUAACUCCGAAAAUCAUCAAGUUCUUGAAAGCCAAAAUCUGAAGUUGGGCGUUUUAUAUAUGGGCUGGAUUAGUUCUUGAAAGCCCAAAUAUGUUAAAAAAUUAAUAACAUCGAUUAUUUCUUCCAUUAGAUCAAACCCAUAUACACGAGGCAUUGCAUUAAUGCUUAAUACUAAUCACUCAUUUACACUAGAGAAUUAACAACAAUAGUGGGCUCACAUUAUCCCAACUGAAAACACAUUCACUUUCCCGGUACGAAGUUGGUGGCAAAGGCCCAUGCGUUGUUGUUAACCGGGUCAGCAAGGUGGUCGGCAAGGUUCUCCAACGGUCCCUUUCCGGUAACAAUAGCCUGAACAAAGAAUCCGAACAUGGAAAACAUUGCUAGUCUCCCGUUCUUUAGCUCCUUAACCUUUAGCUCGGCAAAAGCUUCUGGAUCCUCAGCAAGACCCAACGGGUCGAAGCUACCACCCGGGUAAAGUGGGCCGACAACUUCACCGAGGGGCCCACCGGCAAUUCUGUAGCCCUCAAUAGCUCCCAUCAAUACAACCUGGACACCCCAUAUGGCCAAUAUGCUCUGAGCAUGGACCAAGCUUGGGUUGCCCAAGUAGUCGAGCCCACCCUCGCUGAAGAUUUGUGAUCCGGCCUUGAACCAAACCGCCUCACCGAAUUUAACACCGUUGCGUGCCAAAAGCUCGGGGAAGACGCAGCCUAGAGCACCAAGCAUGGCCCACCUUGAGUGGAUCACCUCUAGUUCACGGUUCUUGGCGAAUGUUUCGGGGUCAGCCGAAAGUCCAGCGGUAUCCCAGCCGUAGUCACCGGGGAAUUCGCCGGUCAAGUAGCUAGGUGCCUCACCGGAGAAUGGGCCCAAGUACUUGACACGGUCCGGGCCGUACCAUGGGCUGCUGGAUGCGGCGGGCUUGGGCUUGGCGGAGGUCUUCCUCAUGGAGAUCCUGCCGGUGCCGGUGACUUCGGGAGAGAGCUUGACAGCCUGUCCGGCGAAAGACGGAGAAGAUAGAGCCAUUGAAGAAGCAGCCAUUGAA
rnacentral:lncRNA from 1 species